rnacentral:rRNA from 1 species
GACGAACGCUGGCGGCGUGCUUAACACAUGCAAGUAGAACGGAAAGGCCCGGCUUUGGUUGGGUGCUCGAGUGGCGAACGGGUGAGUAACACGUGAGUAACCUGCCCGGGAGUGGGGGAUAACUUCUGGAAACGAGAGCUAAUACCGCAUAGUAGCACCUGCUGCAUGACGUUGGCUGGAAAGUUUCGACUGCAGGGGUAGGACUUGGGGCUGCGUAGCUUGUGGGUGAUGGAGUGGUUUAGCAUGGCCUUGGCGGGGAGCCGGCCUGAGAGGGUGACCGGGCCCAUUGGGACUGAGGUGCCGGCAAGAGUGCUACGGCAGGCAGCAGCGGGGGAUUGUGCGCGAUGGGCGGAGGCCUGAUGCAGCAUCGUCGGGUGGGGGAGGACGGCCUUAGGGUUGGAACCCGUUUGAGCCUGUGAAGAAGCGUGAGUGACGGUAAUGGGUAAAGAAGCACCGGCUAACUACGUG